UACGGGGGGGGCAAGCGUUGUUCGGAAUUACUGGGCGUAAAGGGUUCGUAGGUGGCCAACUCAGUCAGACGUGAAAUCCCUCAGCUCAACUGGGGAACUGCGUCUGAUACUAGAUGGCUCGAGUGCAGGAGAGGAACGCGGAAUUCCAGGUGUAGCGGUGAAAUGCGUAGAUAUCUGGAGGAACACCGGUGGCGAAGGCGGCGUUCUGGACUGCUACUGACACUGAGGAACGAAAGCCAGGGGAGCAAACGGG
rnacentral:rRNA from 1 species